AGAAACUGGUUUUCUCUCUUAGGCAUUUUAUCGAACAGUUUCAACCAAUUGCUUUUGAGUUUAAAUUUCGAUGCCAAUGCAACUUAUUUCUGUUUCUUGCUUUCUUAUUCCUUUCUAGGGCACAUCUUAGGUUCCUUUUGCGUUCACCCCUGUUUGCUAGCUUAUUGUUUUUGCUUAAUUUGAAUUCUUGGCAAUCUAGCACUACAAUUGCUUGAUGAAAUGUCCGCGUAGUGCUCUCUAUUUUGGUUUCCUCGUG
rnacentral:lncRNA from 1 species